CGGAAAGCCUGACCGAGCGAUGCCGCGUGCGGGAUGAAGGCCCUCGGGUUGUAAACCGCUGUCGUAGGGGAGGAAGGUUCCGUGAAGAGCGGAGUUUGACCUAUCCUAGGAGGAAGUACGGGCUAAGUUCGUGCCAGCAGCCGCGGUAACACGAACCGUACGAACGUUAUUCGGAAUUACUGGGCUUAAAGGGUUUGUAGGCGGCCUUGUAAGUCAGGUGUGAAAGCCCUCGGCUCAACCGAGGAACAGCGCUUGAUACUGCAAGGCUUGAGGGAGACAGGGGUAAGCGGAACUGAUGGUGGAGCGGUGAAAUGCGUUGAUAUCAUCAGGAACACCGGUGGCGAAAGCGGCUUACUGGGUCUCUUCUGACGCUGAGGAACGAAAGCUAGGGUAGCGAACGGGAUUAGAUACCCCGGUAGUCCUAGCUGUAAACGAUGAGCACUUAUCUGGGGAUCCUCCCAUAGGUUCCCGGAUGUAGCGAAAGUGUUAAGUGCUCCGCCUGGGGAGUAUGGUCGCAAGGCUG
rnacentral:rRNA from 1 species